rnacentral:rRNA from 1 species
GGGGCAACCCUGAUCCAGCCAUGCCGCGUGUGUGAAGAAGGCCCUCGGGUUGUAAAGCACUUUCAGCGAGGAAGAACGCCUAGCGGUUAAUACCCGCUAGGAAAGACAUCACUCGCAGAAGAAGCACCGGCUAACUCCGUGCCAGCAGCCGCGGUAAUACGGAGGGUGCAAGCGUUAAUCGGAAUUACUGGGCGUAAAGCGCGCGUAGGUGGCUUGAUAAGCCGGUUGUGAAAGCCCCGGGCUCAACCUGGGAACGGCAUCCGGAACUGUCAAGCUAGAGUGCAGGAGAGGAAGGUAGAAUUCCCGGUGUAGCGGUGAAAUGCGUAGAGAUCGGGAGGAAUACCAGUGGCGAAGGCGGCCUUCUGGACUGACACUGACACUGAGGUGCGAAAGCGUGGGUAGCAAACAGGAUUAGAUACCCUGGUAGUCCACGCCGUAAACGAUGUCGACCUAGCCGUUGGGUGCCUAGCGCACUUUGUGGCGAAGUUAACGCGAUAAGUCGACCGCCUGGG